rnacentral:rRNA from 1 species
AUUGAACGCUGGCGGCAGGCCUAACACAUGCAAGUCGAGCGAGCGGCGGACGGGUGAGUAAUGUAUGGGGACUGCCUGAUAGAGGGGGAUAACUACUGGAAACGGUAGCUAAUACCGCAUACUAACGGAUAACCCACAUGGGAUUCGCUAGUAGGUGGGGUAAAGGCUGACCUAGGCGACGAUCUCUAGCUGGUCUGAGAGGAUGAUUAGCCCCCAUGGAGCGGAGACCGGGCCCAGGCUCCAAGGGUGGCAGGAGUGGGGAAUAGUGCAACAGUGGCGCAAACCUGAUGGAGCCAUGCCGGGUGUAUGAAGAAGGCCUUAGGGUUGUAAAGUACUUUAAGCGGGGAGGCGUUACCCGCAGAAGAAGCGCCGGCUAACUCCGUGCCAGCCGCCGCGGUAAUUC